AGGAGCUUGUCCUAGUGGGAGGAGCCUGGACUUGGAAGUCAGGGGCCUGGGUUCUAAUCCCCGAUCUACUG
rnacentral:tRNA from 1 species